GACGAACGCUGGCGGCGUGCCUAGUACAUGCAAGUUGAGCGCUGAAGGUUGGUACUUGUACCAACUGGAUGAGCAGCGCACGGGUGAGUAACGCGUGGGGCAUCUGCCUUUGAGCGGGGGACAACAUUUGGAAACGAAUGCUAAUACCGCAUAAAAACUUUAAACACAAGUUUUAAGUUUGAAAGAUGCAAUUGCAUCACUCAAAGAUGAUCCCGCGUUGUAUUAGCUAGUUGGUGAGGUAAAGGCUCACCAAGGCGAUGAUACAUAGCCGACCUGAGAGGGUGAGCGGCCACCUUGGGACUGAGACACGCCCCAAACUCCUACGGGAGGCAGCAGUAGGGAAUCUUCGGCAAUGGACGAAAGUCUGACCGAGCAACGCCGCGUGAGGGAAGAAGGUUGUCGGAUCGUAAAACUCGGUUGGUAGAGAAGAACGUUGGUGAGAGUGGAAAGCUCAUCAAGUGACGGUAACUACCCAGAAAGGGACGGCUAACUACGUG
rnacentral:rRNA from 1 species